UACGUAGGGGGCUAGCGUUGUCCGGAAUUAUUGGGCGUAAAGAGCUCGUAGGCGGUUUGUCGCGUCUGCUGUGAAAACCUAAGGCUCAACCUUGGGCUUGCAGUGGGUACGGGCAGACUAGAGUGCGGUAGGGGUGACUGGAAUUCCUGGUGUAGCGGUGGAAUGCGCAGAUAUCAGGAGGAACACCGAUGGCGAAGGCAGGUCACUGGGCCGCAACUGACGCUGGAGGAGCGAAAGCAUGGGGAGCGAACAGG
rnacentral:rRNA from 1 species